CGGACUGGAGUCUGCAACCCGACUCCACGAAGUUGGAUUCGCUAGUAAUCGCGCAUCAGCCAUGGCGCGGUGAAUACGUUCCCGGGCCUUGUACACACCGCCCGUCAAGCCAUGGGAGCCGGGGGCGCCUGAAGUCCGGGACCGCGAGGACCGGCCUAGGGCGAAACUGGUAACUGGGGCUAAGUCGUAACAAGGUAUC
rnacentral:rRNA from 1 species